UUGAGCUCUAUCAAUGCCUACUUCUAUCUCUCUCACCAUACAAUCUUCUCUCUCCCACUCAAUGAGUAAUGCGUACAAAUUGAAUCUAACUGCUAACCUAUCACUAGGAAUGAGCAGAGUAUAUACAUAACCAGCUAAGGAGCAUCAUGAUCUUCAGAAAGCAACGGCCAUGAUCAGCUGAAUUAGUUCAGCCUUAUACCAUUUUGAUAUUGCUAAACAGUUGCUCAUGCAUUGUGAAUAUAAGAAAAUGCCCCUGAGCUUAUAGGCUCACAUUAAUCUAACGUUUUUCAAAUUUUAAGUAAC
rnacentral:lncRNA from 1 species